AUAGCAAGUCUUGUGGAUAUCACAAUAAAUCUACUAUAGUUUUUGUUAGGAUAUUGACUAGGCAUGAAGGAAGGCAAAUAUAGUGUUCAAAAUAUUGAGCUACUAUCAUUCAAGAUUCGAACUAAUCUAAUUGAUCAGAAAAGUGUUAAGAUUGGUGGGGGUCCCCCCAUUACUUUUCUUAGACACCAAUAAAGUUGGCCAGACCUGCAAAGAAAUCAAUUAAAUAACCACCGUACUUGAAAU
rnacentral:lncRNA from 1 species